ACCUGGCCCCUUAUCUUGGCUCUCUUGGUCAGCACUCCCUCCUCCUGUCAGCCUGGGUGAUUCUUGACCUUCUGUGACUUCCUCCCUCUGCACUCCUCACUUGGAAACCCCGUUUGGGGUUUAUAAUCACUCUUCCUCUUGGAAAUGGUCUUCAGAUUAUAAAAGCUUUACACCCACAAAGCCUGGAUCUGCCCGUGGGGCUGUGCCCGGAGGGUCUCGAGCCGUUGCUACCGGCUCUCCCGGGGACCAGACGCCAUUCGGCCACACACACCCGACGCUUUACCCCCCCCCUCGUGGCACUUGCGGUGGAGGGAACUUAAUGACCUAUGCCCAAACACUUCAAUUUCUGAUCGGUUUUUGAAGGUUCUGGAAGAAGCCAGAAUUUCUUUAUCGUAAACAUCUGAAGUAAAGGCCGUCCUGAAAGAGCUCCCGCUUGAGUUGUAUGCCGCUUCUCGGUCCGCGGACAGCCCAGAUGAAGCACCGAGUGGGAGAGAGAGACGUGGGGGAACGUGACGCCCUCUGACAGGUUGGAACCCACAAAUCCGGGAAACUGCUUGGAGGCCAGACACAGGCUCCGCACCUAAACUCAAGUGCUUUCUCUUUUCUUCCUGCAAAUUUGUUAGUGAACAUGUAGUGUAAUAUUGGC